rnacentral:rRNA from 1 species
GUGUCAGCAGCCGCGGUAAUACAGAGGGUGCGAGCGUUGUCCGGAAUCACUGGGCGUAAAGGGCGCGUAGGCGGCCCCUUAAGCGUGUGGUGAAAGCGCGGGGCUCAACCCCGCGUCGGCCAUGCGGACUGGGGGGCUGGAGCACGUCAGAGGCAGGCGGAAUUCCGGGUGUAGCGGUGGAAUGCGUAGAGAUCCGGAAGAACACCGGUGGCGAAGGCGGCCUGCUGGGACGUGGCUGACGCUGAGGCGCGACAGCGUGGGGAGCAAACAGGAUUAGAAACCCCCGUAGUCC